UGAUUUAAUACUUCUUUUACAAUGUAUUCUAUCCCUUUUGUGUUUAGUACUAGGCACAACCUUUUAUGCAUUUGUCAUGUUGGUAUUUCUAAAGAAUAUUUCAGAUUUUGGGGUGCUUUAUGUGGUUUGUUUGCCAACAAAAGCUCGAUUGCAUCGCUUGCCUUAUUACACAAGACCAGUCCUUAUGGCCAUAUGGUGUCCUUCAAUUCCCUUCGGGGAACCAAUAAACCCAGAAAUGGGGCUCAAAAUCUCCUUCGGGAGAGCAUAGAAUUCCUUCGGGAAGCAAACAAACCCAGAAAUGGGGCUCAAAAUGUGCUUCGGCACACUGAAUAUUCCCUUCGGGGAACUAGUAAUCACAGCAAUGUGAUCUUAACUGUGCUUCGGCACACUGAAAAUUUCCUUCGGGAAACUAAUAAUCACAGCAAUGUGACUGAAAGGCACUAUAAUGGCAAAUAUUGUGGAAACCAAUUUGUGAACAAAAGUAUUUUCGGGAUACCUGUGUACAUGUUGCUGUAUUUGUCGGAUAAAACAGGGCAAACAAAUCACAUUUUUAGCACUGUAUAUAAUGAUCGAAGUAAUCUUGUUGACGAAUUCACCUCAAAAACUAGUAAUAACAGUAUAACAAAUGCAUUUGAGAAAACUAUGCCUAGUAUUGAAAACAAACAUGAUAAUAAUAAACAUGCAUCUUGUCCAUCUAUCAAGAUCUCCAAGUGUAUAGAAAAUCAUAGACAUUCUUGAAUAUGUUCAAAGCAACUAAAUCACAAAUGUAGAGAUAGAGAACCAUCUAGAAUAUCCCUAAAAAAAGUUAUGAGAUUGCUCAGAUAUAGAAAGUUAAGAAAAAGACACAAAAAGAUGAUUAUUAAGGGCACACCUGUUUCAUCUGUUUUUUACAGAAUUGCUACAAACUAUAACUAUUGGAAAUUGAAAUACAUUAACAGACUUAAUAGUUUCUAUAGCUCCUUUUUUAGAGCAACUUGUAAAACAUCAGUGAGGUAUAAUGGAUGUAAACAAACUCUUUUAUUGUCUGGGGACAUUGCAGAAUCGAAUCCUGGUCCUGUAACUGAUAAUAAUAAUAUUGAAGAUAUAUGUUUAUAUAGUAAUGGUGACUUUACGUUAAGAUACCGAAUGCUUCGACAUGGUUUAACACCACUAGAUGUUGGUGGAGGAGGUGAUUGCUUUUUCAAAUCAGUAUCACAUCAGCUAUAUGGUAAUUCAAAUAAACAUGCAGAAAUUAGAGCUUUAGGAGUGAGAUAUUUAAAGGACAAUCCUGAACGAUUUAUUGAAAGUAUCAUAGAUUCAUCUUGGUCACAGUAUUUAACUAAUAUGUCUCUACAAGGAACAUGGGCCAAUCAUAUUAUAAUACAGGCUGUUGCUGAUGCAAUGAGUUUAAAGAUUCAUAUUAUAGAAUCAGAUUCAAAUAUUAGGGAAGUCACAUUAGUUGAGCCAGCAAAUACAAUAAUAAAUAAUAUUAGAACAAUAUACAUAGGACAUAUUGGUCAAGUGCACUACGUAUCAACAUGUUCUGUUUCACAUCAACAAAGUUCGAACAAUAUUGACAGGGAAAAUACAAUUUCGAGUCGUCCAGAAAAAAGAAAGCAAGCAAGUACAAGCAAAAGUUCUAAUUCAAAUGAAACAAAAAAGCAAGACAGGGCUACCUACAUUAGGCAAUACAUGAAGGAAUACAGGCAAUCCAAGCAAAAUAAUACUUCACCAGAAAAAAAAUCAAAGAGAAAUGAAUACCAAAGAAAUUAUAGAGAAAUGAAUGCAUCACCAGAAAAGAAAUUAAAGUGUAAUGAAUACCUAAGAAAAUAUAGAGAAAUUAAUUCAUCACCAGAAAAGAAAUUAAAGUGUAAUGAAUACCUAAGAAAAUAUAGAGAAAUGAAUGCAUCACCAGAAAAAAAAUCAAAGAGAAAUGAAUACCAAAGAAAAAAUAGAGAAAUAAAUGCAUCACCGGAAGAGAAAUCAAAGCGUAAUGAAUACCAAAGAAAAUAUAGAGCUAACUCAUCCAUUGAAUUUGCAAUAAAGCGGUUCCAUGAAAUAGUAAACCAAGGCCCUCUGUAUAUUUGUAUAUGUUGUGAUCAACUAUGGUAUAAACAUAGUGUGAGUAGUACUACUAAGCUGAGACAAUCAAAUCCUGAUGUUGUGAAAUAUCUAUCAAAUAAGAUAAGUGUUGGUAACAAAGAAUGGGUUUGUAGAACAUGCUCUAAUUAUUUGCAAAAAAAUAAAGUCCCACCAUGUGCUGUAGCGAAUGGUAUGGCAUUUCCAGAUAAACCAGAUUUCUUUGAUCUCAAUGAACUAGAAUGUAGAUUAUUAGCUCCAAGAAUUGCAUUUCAAAAAUUAAUGCAGGCACCUAGGGGGAGACAGCUUAAGAUACAUGGAAAUAUUGUUAAUGUACCUGCUGAUGUAACUAAUACAGUUAAUAUAUUACCACGAUUGCAAAAUCAAACUGCUACAAUUAAAGUUAAUUUAAAGCGGAUGCUGAAAUAUAAGAGUUCUGCACUGUCACUAAAUGUAAGACCAUAUAAAGUACUUCAAGCAGCAAAUUGGCUUAUAACACAUAGUAGUUUAUAUAGAGAUGAAGGUAUAGUACUGAAUAAUGACUGGAUCAAUCAAUACAACAGAGCUGAUAAUGAUGAAAUUAAUGAGAAGGUACAGUCAGAUACAAUAGAUGAAACUGAUGACAAUGAUAUUGAUUCUGAAGGGCUAGACCAAAAUGAAUCACAUGAAGAUGAAGCAGAAACAAUUGCUGGUGUUACUGAUACUAUGUUUACAGCAACUGACUUUUUAGAAGAUAAUGAAAGGCAAAACAUAUUAAAUAUUGCUCCAGGUGAAGGGAAUAGACCAUUAAGUGUUUUUAGAGACAAAUAUUGUGAAGAGUUAGCAUACCCUGGAAUAUUUCUUGGACAACCACGAAUUGACAAUAAACAAAGAUUAGUCGAUAUUAACUAUAGUGAUAUAUGUAAAUCAGAGUUGAGACGGUCUGACAGACGAGCUGCAGUGUGCAUUGAAAAUAUAUUUUACAAAACAAAAAAGUUGCAAAUGAAAAUUCUCUUAGGAAAAUCACAUAUAGCUCUGAGAAAAUGUAAGGGAAACAACAAAAAUAUUACUGCUGGACAACUUAAACAGCAAGGAUCAAUAGACAGAUUGAUUCGUCAUGAUGAUGGAUACAAGUUUUUAAAUGCAUUGAGAGGUUCACCUCCAUACUUUGAAAAAGCUAAAAAAGAUCUGUUUGCAAUGAUUAGGCAGUUAGGUCCUGCUACACUAUUUUGUAGUUUCUCAUCAGCUGAAACACAAUGGAUGCACCUACUUAGAAUACUUGGUCAGCUUGUAGACAAUAAGGAAUACACUGAUGAACAAAUAGACAAUUUUAAUUGGGAUGACAGGUGUCGCUUAAUUCAGAGUGACCCUGUGACAUGUGCAAGACACUUUGAUUAUCAAGUUAAUCAAUUUUUAACAAACUUCUUGUUCAGUUCUGCUCAACCUUUAGGUAAAAUAUCUGACUGGUUUUACCGUGUAGAAUAUCAGCAAAGAGGGUCUCCUCAUAUACAUAUGCUGAUGUGGCUUGAAGAUGCACCACAAUUUCAAAUAGAUAGUGAUGAAGAUGUCACAUCAUUUAUUGAUAAGAUAAUAACUUGCCAAAAGCCAGUAGACAAUGCUGAUUUACUAGUCUUGGUUAAUAGACAGGUACAUAGACAUUCGCAUACAUGCCGUAAAAAUACAAGUAGCAAAUGUAGAUUUAACUAUCCACAGCCACCAAUGAAGCAAACUAUGAUAAUAUAUCCUCUAGAUGAGGAUACACCCGAAAAGGAAAUAAAAAUAUAUAGAGAUAAUUGGAAGGCAAUUCAAGUGUAUCUAGAUGAAAGCAAAGAAGGUGAAGAUAUUACAUUUGACCAGUUACUCGUGAACCUUAAUAUCACUAAACAAAACUAUUUACUUGCUGUAAGUUCAUCGAUUAACACACCUACUGUGUUUCUGAAAAGAAAUCCCAAUGAAUUACGCAUAAAUAAUUACAACCCUGAUUGUCUCUCUGCAUGGAGAGCUAACAUGGAUAUACAGUUUGUCUUAGAUGUCUAUGCAUGUGCUGUGUACAUAGUGAAUUAUAUAUCAAAAGGCCAGAAAGGCAUGAGUGAACUUUUAAGAGAGGCAUGUACUGAAGCUAGGCAAGGUAAUAAAACAAUAAAACAACAAGUAAGGGAUAUUGGAAGUAAGUUCCUCAAUAAUGUUGAGAUAAGUGCACAAGAAGCAGUGUACAUUGUGUUACAGCUUCCAAUGAGAAAAUCAUCUAUAGACAGAUAAUAUUUAUAAAUACAUCACCACCUAAUGAAAGAGUUGACCUAUUAAAACCAAUGGAUAAUAUUAAUGAAAUGGAUGAUGACUCUGAAGAAAUCUAUACCAGUGGUUUACUCAAAAAGAUAUUCAAAGCGCCCUCUAAAACUAGAAAAUAUCACACUUGCAGACUGGGCAGCAUGGUAUGAUUGUGCUGGAAAGCCUUAUGUAAAACAAACUAAUCAAGUUGAUGUUGAUGGUCUUCCGUUAGAGAAUUUUGUUGAUGAUAAUCUAAAUGAUGAUGAUGAUACAGAAGCUCAGAAAACACCACGUAGCAAAACUAAAAAACGAGCAAAGGCUAGGAUAAUUAGAAGUGUGUGGUUUAAUAAGGAAGCUGAGCCGGAAAAACAUUAUCGUGAACUUCUAAUGCUAUUUACUCCAUGGCGAAAUGAAGAAACUGAUAUUCUUGGUACAUUUUCAUCUUAUGAAGAACGCUAUAUGUUACUUGCCAAUGUCAUCAAUGAACAAAUGAAACAAUAUGCAGUUUGCAAUGAGGACUUUAAUGAAAUACAACAAGACAUGAAUAGAUUAGAGGAUAGAUUUGAUGAGAUAGCACCUUGUACUCAAAAUCUUGAACAACAAGACCGAGCUGAAGGUGAUCAAGACUUACAUCCUGACUUCACUGGAAACUAUAAUCUAUCAGAUGAUUUAGGAAUACCAUCAGUUGAUAAUACUGAAACACUUAUUAUGAAUGAACUGCCAGAUGAUGAAUAUAGAUGUAUGGUACAGACGUUGAAUAAAGAGCAAAAAGAAUUUUUCUAUCAUGUACUACAUUUAAAAAAAACUUCUGGUGAGGCAUUUUACUGCUUUCUAAGUGGUGGUGCAGGUGUGGGUAAAUCACAUGUCACUAAAGCCUUAUACCAAGCUGCUUUGAAAUAUUAUAACACCAGACCUGGCGUUAAUUUUGCUGAAACAAAAAUACUUAUGUUAGCACCCACAGGGAAAGCAGCAUAUAAUAUAAAGGGCAAUACCAUCCAAAGUGCUUUAGCAGUACCAGCCUGUCAGUCAUUAAAGAACUAUAAGAAACUUGAUUCAAGUAGGCUUAAUACAUUAAGAUGUCAAAUAGGUGGACUUAAGUUGAUAUUUGUAGAUGAAAUAUCUAUGGUUGGUAAUACUAUGUUUAAUGUCCAAUUCAAUAAUAGACUUAAAGACAUCAAAGGCAGCUCGCUACCAUUUGGCGGUGUUAGUAUUGUUGCUAUAGGAGAUUUGUUUCAAUUACAACCUGUAAUGGAUGGUUAUAUAUUUAAAGACAUGGAUAAUGAUGAAUAUGGUGUUCUUGCACCUAAUGUAUGGCAAGAACUUUUCAAAAUGUUUGAACUUAAAGAAAUCAUGCGACAGAGGGAAAGCAAAGACUUUGCUGAAUUAUUGAAUAGAUUAAGAGAGGGAAAUCAUACUAAAGAGGAUAUAAUCAAAUUAAAGGAAAGAAUUCUUAACCACACUAGUGCUCAGUAUCCCAAAGAUGCACCUCAUUUAUUUAUUCAAAAUGCUAAAGUCAAUGACUUCAACUAUAAAGCUCAUAAUGCUCUUCAGGGUCCAAAAUACUCUAUUAAAGCACAUGACACUGUCAUUGGAACAGAUUCGGAAGAACUUAGAGACAAAAUAUUAAAGCAAAUACCUAAAGAUCCUAGAAAAACAAAACAACUGCAUUCUGUUUUGCAUUUGGCAAUUGGUGAAAGAACAGAGAUAUCACUAAACACUAGAAAUGAUGAUGGUAUGACCAAUGGUGCUGGUAGUGUCAUAAAAUUUAUGCAAAUACAUAAAACAGACAAACCAUCAGGUAUUAUAUGGGUACAGUUUGAUCAUGCUGAUGUUGGUCAAAAAACCAGGCAUGAUAAUAGACAGCUAUAUGUCAAUGAUAUUGAACCAACAUGGACACCAAUCAAACCUAUUAGCACUCAAUUUGCUGUAGGUAGAACAAGAUCUGUACACGUGAUGAGAAAACAAUUUCAACUUAGACCUGCUGCUGCUAAAACAAUACAUAGAUCACAGGGUGAUACUGAAAGUAGAAUUGUAGUAAAUUUUGAAACCAAAAGAGCCAUUCCUCAUAUACAUUAUGUAGGAUUAAGUAGAGUAACAACUAUAGAUGGUCUAUAUAUAACUGACUUAUGUGAAAGCAAAAUAGCUGUUAAUACUGACGUCCAAACUGAAAUGCAUCGAUUGAGAACUGAAGGAAAACUGUCACUUUCUGUUAGUCCCAUAUAUGAAGCACCUCAAGCUAGUAUUAAAAUCUGUUUUCUCAAUGCAAGAUCAUUGCACAAGCAUAUAGAUGACAUACGUCAUGACUUAAAUUACUCAAGCACUUAUGUAAAUAUUUUUUCAGAAACAAGAUUUUUUCAGCAUGAAAAUGAUGAUUCAUAUCUAUUAGAUGAUAAAAACUAUACAUUGUUCAGAAAUGAUGGUACACCAAGACAAAAUGUAAGGCCAUAUGGAGGUACAGCAGUGUAUAGCCGUCUUGACUAUUACCCAGGAUAUCCAUUUUGUAGUAAUAUACAUGGUGUAGAAAUAACUAUUUUGAGGUUUAUGAUCAUACUUCAUAUUACAAUAGUGGGAGUAUACAGCUCACCAACAGUAUCAAUAACAGAAUUAUGUAAUGCUAUGAAAGAGACACUAGACUCUCUACCAACACAAAUUAACAUUUUUAUUGGUGAUUUCAAUGUGAACUGGUUCAGUGAAUCACGCCGUGCAUCACUUUAUAACUUUUUUAUAACACAAAAUUGUUAUAGACAGCUAGUUUCAUGUAGUACAACAGACAGUAAAACCUGUAUUGACCACAUCUACACUAAUUUACCUGAAGUGCAAACAAGCUUUCAGAUUUUGGAGACAUAUUUUUCUGAUCAUAAAGCCAUUUGUGUAUUGAUAAACAGCUUCAUUAACUAAAGGCAAAAAUUGAUAAUGGAGUCUAUAAAUACAGUGCAAACAAUUUACAUUACACACUAGUUUAUUUAACAUUAGCACAUACUGAUUAUGUUCUUAUAAGACUACCGGUAUUCUGAAUAAUUAGGUACUUAUUAUAAAUAUUAUGUAUUAGAAACACAGUUAAAUACACUCAAUAGUGCAAUUGUUUAGAUACACUUUAUUUCAUUACAGAAUACCAACAUGAGCACUCCUACAACAAACCCACAACAACAACUCAACAAAGCUGACGACUCACCAGAUGUUCAACUAGAGGGUUUUGUUCAUAGCCUAAGUCCUGUUAAGCAUGCGAAAAAAAACAGAAAACCAUACUUUGACUGUCUUGUCCAAACUGGAGAAGCUGAAAAGGUCCGUGGCGUGUGCUAUGACCCACAGCUAAGAAAAAAUCUCCUUGAACCAUACCAAAAUAAAUCACCAAUAAAAAUCACAGCCACCAAAAGAAUGGCUAGCACCAGUACCUCUGAAGAGUUCAGAAUGACGAAAAAAUCAAAGAUAACAUCAGCAGCGCCAGAAUUCUCAUAUAACUCCCAAGUUGUCUCAUCUAUUGUGACGGUGCAAGAAGCGUUAUCAGCGCCAGAAUACAAGGCAGUUGACAUUGUUGCUAAGGUGGUAACAAAGAAUCACGAAAAUCAAUUGAUCAUUAAACAAGGUCAACAGCUAAAGAAAUCAGACUGUAUCAUUGGUGAUGAGCAUAGCACAAUAAAACUCACUCUCUGGGAAGACCUCAUUGACAGAGUAGAAUGUGGAAAAACGUACACAUUUAAGAAUGUUAGAAUCAGAGUAUUUGAUGACGUUAAAUAUCUAUCUACAAAUACUUCAACAUCAAUUGAACCAGCUGAUAGACAAAUCCAUGACAUAAACUUAACAUCUGAGCAAUUUGCUGAAAAUAUUAUCGAGGGACGGUUUAUCGGUGCCAAUGUGAAAGCAGCAAACUCUUGUGUUGUAUGCAACACCACGCUAAAUCAAGAUGAUAGUGAAGAUGACAUGAUAACAUGUCCCCUGCCAACUUGCCAAACAACUAUGCUCUUUUCAGAAUGCCAAACAAAACUGGUUUGCAACUUAACUGUCAAGAAAACUGAUGGCAAAAUGCAGAUGUACACAUGCUUUAAUGAUGGCCUGCAAAGUUUUCUCAUCUCCAUCAACAAAGGCGACACUAGAAUAGAUGACUUAUCACCUAAAGAACUGAACAAGCUUUUCUUAACUGCUGGAACUAAGCAACUUAUUGUGGAUAAUUCAACCUGUCAUUCAUCAGGUUCUCUUUUAGACCUCAAAACACGUCGAAGGUAUAAACACUACAGAAAAACAUUUAUUUGCAUAUUUUGAGUUUUUGUUGAACUACAGGCAUAAUGUCUGAUAUUCUCUGCUUUUCAUUCAAAAAAGUUAAAUUUAGAGUUCGUUUAGUUGUAAAACUGGAACCAGCAUUAUUGUUCUUGUUCAUAUUGUAUCUAGAUGACUGUGUACAAUGGUCUUGCUGAUAUUCAACUCAUAUUGAUCAUAUUGUAUAAGCCAAAAUCUAGUUAUUGGUCAACCAAGACCAUCCAUGAUAUAUUGUUUCUAAUCAACAAACAUUUCACAAUUAUAUUACAAAAUAGAGUAAAAGUACAGACAAAUAUUAUUUUAAAGGGAUUUUAUUGAAUAUAUUUUUAUAUAAGAUGUUACUGUUCAUAUUAUAACUAUAUCAAUAUUUUUGAAAAGCCACAAAAAUUGUAUUCACGUUAUAUAUUUAUAUUGAAGUGGAAAUAAAAUGUUUAUAUUUUGCAAAA